rnacentral:misc_RNA from 1 species
AUCCUCUGCAGCAAUGCGAUUUGACUCUUGUCUUUGUUGACCGAGUUUAAAGGGAGCUAGAGGAUGAUCAGUUUAGACUAGCCCGAGUGCUAAGCAUUCUUGGGUCUAGGCUGGAUUGCUCAUUUCAUCUAUUUUCUA